GGUGAUUCAUGGUAACUGUUCGAAUCGCUUGGCCUCCGUGCCGGCGAUGGUUCAUUCAAGUUUCUGCCCUAUCAACUUUCGAUGGUAGCGUAUUGGGCUACCAUGGUGGCAACGGGUAACGGGGAAUUAGGGUUCGAUUCCGGAGAGGGAGCCUGAGAAACGGCUACCACAUCCAAGGAAGGCAGCAGGCGCGCAAAUUACCCAAUCCCGAUACGGGGAGGUAGUGACAAUAAAUACUGAUACGGGGCUCUUUUGGGUCUCGUAAUUGGAAUGAGAACAAUUUAAAUCCCUUAACGAGGAACAAUUGGAGGGCAAGUCUGGUGCCAGCAGCCGCGGUAAUUCCAGCUCCAAUAGCGUAUAUUAAAGUUGUUGCAGUUAAAAAGCUCGUAGUUGAACCUUGGGUCUGGCUGGCCGGUCCGCCUCACCGCGAGUACUGGUCCGGCUGGACCUUUCCUUCUGGGGAACCUCAUGGCCUUCACUGGCUGUGGGGGGAACCAG
rnacentral:rRNA from 1 species